CUCCGCGCUGCCCCUGGACGCCCGUGAAAACAUCGCGACCAACGACUGUCCCUUCAACACCACGCGCAUCUACGACACGGCGCUGGCGCUCUGGUUCCUCUCCCUGCUGCUGGCAGCUGCGGAAGCCGUGCUCUCGGGCAGGAGCUGCCUGGUGGCUCUGGUGUUCCGCGGCAUCGGGCCCUGUGCACACGGCUAUGGCAGAGAGCAGCUGGCCAGGCCAAGUACAGCAAUGGAGAAGCCACUCCGUGAGAGGCAGCAGCUCCUGGCAGGAAUUUCUGACUCUGCAGUGUAGCUGGAGAGGUGGUGCUGCAGGAGCGCUGUGACCCAGCCAGGUGGGGGCCAAGGUGGUGUCACAGCUCCUGCAGGGGGCUCGGGGUGUGCCCUGCCCCCAGCUCCACCAGCCCCCUGGCACCGACCCUGCAGGCCAGCAGGUGCUGCUGCUCUCCCAUCCUCGCCCCGAGCUGCUGGGCCCGUCCUGGUGUGCUGCAGGUUCUUGGUUUCUGGCAGCAGUGGUGGGGGUGGACAGUCCUGGUGCCACUGCAGGCAUGGCAGCUGGCUGUGCCUGUGCUCAGAUGUCUCAGGGAACAGAAAGGGAAGAAUCCCUUUGGUGUAGGUCUCUAGUUUUCUUGAAUAAACUUUUCCUUUCUACACUGGCUGUUCUAAGUGGCUCUGCCAGGUGAGUGCUGGUUGGGAACAAGGCAUGCCAAGGGAAGGGAAGUGCAGCUGCUCUGUGAGCCUGUCCCUGUGCCUGCCACUGCCCAAGCACAGGAAUGGUGGCAGAGCUGUGG